AAAAUAAAGCGAUACUCAAAUUGCAAUCAGUUUCGACCUGAUCCUAGAUGAACUCUAUUUUU
rnacentral:tRNA from 1 species